AGAGCAUAGUUCAAGCAUCUUUUUUUUUUCUCUGUAAGAUAUGAACUUCUUCAUCUGUUUGACCUAAUUUUUCACCUUUUUCUCAAUGUGUUCUAAGAGGCCCCUUUCGAGAUUCCUCGCCUCUUUUCCUGUAAACACUGAUCAUCUUCAACUCGCUCAUAACAUAACCCAAAGCCUUCUCAACUCCACCCAUUUCAAACCUCACUCUGCGAUCCCAUGCAUCGCACCUCAAGUCACUUACUAUGUUCUCUCAGACCCAUCUCUUCCUCCUCGCUCCUGCUUAUCCUUCUUCCACUUCCUCGCAACACAAAACCCCCAAAAACCAGACCUCAAAGCCCACCUGAUCCUCCUCUUUAGGCUCUUUUCAGCAAAACAAUUUGCAUCAAUGAGAACCCUUUUGAAUUCCCUUGUCACCAAUGUGGAAACCAAGCACCCUGUUCGUGAGUUUGUUUCUCUAGUUGAUGAAUGUGAGUCUCAAUUUGGAAGUGAAAGUGAGAGUGAGUCAUAUUUUGUUGAGAAACUAUGUGACAUGUUGUUCAGGGUGUGUGCUGAUAACAGGAUGUUUAGAGAGGCUAUUUGGGUGUUUGAUUAUGUGAUGGCAAAGGGGUUGGCGAUAGAGGGUAGGUCUUGCUUUGUGCUUUUGCUUGCUUUGAAGAGAUGUAAAGAGGUGGAGUUCUGUGUGAGGUUCUUUCAUCGGAUGGUGGAAUGUGGCCGCGUUGAUAUUGGGGUUCAGUCUUUGACUCUUGUGGUUAAUGUGUUGUGUAGGAGAGGAGAGAUCAAUAGGGGUAAGAAGUUGAUGAAGGAGAUGGCUGGGAGAGGCAUUGUGAGGCCGACGGUUUUUACUUAUAAUACAUUGUUGAAUGCUUGUGUUGUGAGGAAAGAUCGAAAGGGGGUUGAGGAGAUACUGGGGUUGAUGGAGAGUGAGGGAGUGCUGGCUUGUUUGACGACGUACACUAUUUUGAUUGAGUGGUAUGCGAGUUCCGGGAGAAUUGGGGAGGCUGAAAAGGUGUUUGAGGAAAUGCGUGGGAGGAACAUGCAGAUGGAUGUUUAUGUGUACACGUCGAUGAUAAGUUGGAAUUGUAGGGCGGGAAAUGUUAGAAGGGCGUUGGCUUUGUUUGAUGAGAUGAUUUUGAAAGGCAUUGUUCCAAAUACUCAUACUUACGGGACGAUGAUUAGCGGAAUGUGCAAGGCGGGGCAAAUGGAGGCUGCAGAAAUCUUGUUGGAAGAGAUGCAGACUAAGGGGCUUGAUCUGAAUGUGGUGAUAUUUAACACGAUGAUGGAUGGUUAUUGUAAGAGAGGGAUGAUGGAUGAGGCUUUCAGGCUGCAAAAUAUCAUGGAAAGGAAGGGAUUUGAAGCCGAUGUGUUUACAUACAGCACUCUUGCUAGUGGGCUAUGUAAAUUGCAAAGGUAUGAAGAAGCCAAGAGGACCCUAAAUUUGAUGGUGGAAAAAGGAGUGACUCCGAACGUUGUUACUUGCACUACUUUAAUUGAGAUAUAUUGUAAGGAAGGAAACCUUGCAGAAGCUGAGAGGAUCUUAGGGAAUAUGGAUAAAGAGAGAAUGGUGCCUAAUAUUGUUACGUAUAAUACUUUAAUAGAUGCAUAUAGUAAGAAAGAAAAAAUAAAGCAAGCUCAUGUGUUAAAAUCUGAAAUGAUAGGGAAGGGAAUAGUGCCAGAUGUAUUUACAUACACAUCACUGAUACAUGGGGAAUGUAUAGUUAACAGGGUGGACGAGGCUCUGAAGCUUUUCAGUGAAAUGUUGGUAAAGGGCAUAAGAGGAAGCGUAAAGACAUAUACAGCAAUUAUUUAUGGUUUAUCCAAGGAAGGGAGAGCAGAUGAAGCUUUUAAGUUUUAUGAUGAGAUGAUGAGAAUGGGUCUAGCACCUGAUGAUAGAGUUUUUGCUGCACUUGUUGGUAGUCUUCAUAAAGUCAGUUCUCAUGUUGCUGCGAAACAAAAUGAGUGGUGCACGGAAAAUAGACUCUCCUGAUGCCUCGAGCUGGCAAACUCUAGUUUGUCAAUUUCACGUGUGGAGGUGGCUCAUACAUUAUGAUUUUGUUCUUGAAGCCUGUAUGAAAAAAAAAAAACAUCUUCCACAACCCAAUACCAAAUUAGAGCUUGGAAACUGGUACACUGUACAAAUAUUCUUGUGUUGGUUAACUUCUUUAGGGAAGCCUAAGUCUUUGGGUGCCAGUGAAAAGAAUUGGGGACAACCUAGCUACACGUGACAAGCAAUUGGCAGUGCAGGCUGAAGAAGCAAUAGGAUGGAGGAGCUGAAUUUGUCCAAGAAGCUAAGAAUUAAGAGGAGUCAGAUGCUGGCAAUCUGAGAAAAGGCCAUUUGGAAGAAGUUAAUUGGCCAUUUUGCUUCAUUAUUUGCUUAUAUGCAUUAGUUAGUUAUUUUAGAAGAGCUAAGAAGAUUACGUGCUGUUCAGGUUAUUUGUAAUCAUACUUAGGAAAGUUUAGUUAGUUAAUAGUAGUUAGUUUACUUGCAUUUUCCAGCCAUGAAUUGUUUAGGAGUUGAGUGGCCUAUAAAAGGGCUGAUACGUAACGCCAACGACAACCCACCUCAUUACACCACACCGAUUUUUUCACAUUCUCUCUACACAUUUUCACAGAGCCUGAACAGACACUUUUCUCUUUUCUCUGCUUGGAUUCAAGAUUCAAGCACCUUCAAGCCUGGUUUCAGUGACUUUUACCAUUUUGUGCAGUUUUAAUUCUCUGUAAUUGAUUUUUAUUCAAUGCAAUUUUUACAUUUCAGCC